GCCGUGUAAUUUUUUACAUUUCUAAAAUGGCACCUUGAGCAGCUAUAUAAACUGCUACUGCUUAUUUAUUUUGUGUACCCUCCAAAUGUUUUAACCGUUCAUAUGGAAAUUGGUAGAACCGUUGGAAAUUGUUAAAAAUAUGUUGCCAUUGUUACGUCAGCGUGCAGCAAGAUUAAUUAUACUUGAAAAAAAUGGCGUCAAAUACUAUGACAUAUUGAAAACUGUUUUCAAUAAACGAAGAAAGUUUCCAAAUUGUUGCAUAUUUUUUCCAUAAAAGCCUUCUUGCUUGUCAACUACAGUGUCGGACCAACAAUACGUACGAAAACUCAUUUGCAAUCCUGUUUUUAUGCAGCUACUUGUAUUAUAGGAUGACAGAUUUAUGUAAAUUGACAGGUAGACCUAAUUGCAACGCACGACAUGGUCUACAGACGGUAUCCUACAUUGGAGCAAAUUUGUGGGAUGUGCUUCCGGUAUAAAGGAAGCUGAAAGUAUGAACUCAUUUUCUUCACAGCCUGAAGUCUUAUUAUUUUUAUUAGAUCUAUUUAUUUUUAUAUCGUCAAUUUAGCCAAGUGUAGUCGUACUCUUCUAUCAAAUCCUAUACAUGACUUCAUACAAGAGGUGACAUUUCCAUUUGUAUCCUUUUAAUUGACGUUAAAUAAAUUUAUGUCUGUUUA